GCCGUGCCUGCAGGACUUCCCUUCGCUUGGGCGCAAGCCGGCGAUUAGCCUGGUCCCCUAGGACAUCUCCAGGGCUCCGGGGAACCUCUCCUGCGCAGGCUUGGCCCUGCCUCCUCCAAGCGUCCGAGUCUUUUUCGGCUUUUGGUGAGCCUCAGAGAGGGACGUUUCCUGCCAACGCUGCUGCGAAGGAAAGUUUGGGCGGCGUUAUCCCGACUGCCUUCCUCGCCAGCGCCGGCGAGCAGCUUGGGGACACAGCCGACGCCCGGGCAUCCUCCCCGACGACUCCCCGGAGCGCUCCCUGUUCAGACUCCUUUCCGAGAAGCACGCAGAAGUGACAGCCCCGGAGCUUCGUUCCGGUGUAGGUGUGGGGAUGCCCCGCAAGGCAGGAAGGGAAGGCGCUCCAAUUGAAGGGGGCACCCCGGGGCCCGCGCCGACUCCUCCCGGCGCAGCCUUGGCUCGCCGGAGUCGCGGGUCGGAGGCUGGCGCCGCUGCCCGCCGACCAGCACCCUGGCGCCAGGCGCCCGGCUCCACGCCGCACCCUUGGCGGCGCUGUGCGAGGGGCUCUAGCGCCCGCCGCGGCGCAGUCUCGUGAACCCCGCUCCAAUUUUUUCCUACGGAGGCGCAGAGGAGGGUGAAUUCGCGCUCUCCUUCCCGACGCCCCGGCUUCUGGGAGCGUCAGAGCAACGGAAGUACGUACAGGAGGACCGAGAGCAGCAGGGAAGUUUGGCGGUGGGCUGGGGUCGGCGGCGAAGAUUCCCUGCCGUGCGCUGCCCCCUCGUGGCCGCUUUGCGUUCCCGUCGGGAAGGGCUGGGUUCCAGUCCAGGGCCCAGCACAAACCAGGAUUGGCUGGACGCUGCACAGCGAGUUCAGUCAGGGCUAACAUCAGAAGAGUCGUGGAGGGCCUGCCUAUCGGCCAGCCUGUCCUUGUGGUUUGUGAAGUUGUAUGAUCUUUCUGUUAUUAUUAAGGAAAAAAGUAGUAUUUGUUGAGGCUAAAAGGCCAAGAGCGUGCUAUAUAUUAUUUAAUCCUCUAAACAGCUCUGCGAGAUAAUUAUUUUAUUUAUUUAUAUUUACUUCCAUAGCUUUAGACAGGAUCUCGUUCUGUCAGGCAGGCUAGAGCGCAGGGUGCUAUCACGGCUCACUGCAGCCUCAAACUCUUGGGCUCAAGCCAUCCUUUCACCUCAGCCUCCUGAAUAGUGGAAACUACAGGCGUGCCACCGCGCCUGGCUAAAUUUUUAAUUUAAAUUUUUUGUAGCGACGGGGUCUCCUUAUGUUGCCCAGGCUAGUCUCAAACUCCUGGGCUCAAGAGAUGCUCCAACCUCAUCUUCACAAAGUGCUGGGAGUACAGGCGCCAGCCACGGUGCCCAACCUGUGAUAAUUAUUUUAAACUCAUUUUACAAAUGAGGAAAGUGAUAUUCAUACUUGUAAAGCCAUUGGGGCUGAAUUUUCAUUUUUGUAUCCACAGAACUAACACAUAAAGUUUACAUGCCAUUAGAAUGUAAGCUCUCUGUAAGCUACAGAUCUUUUCCACUGUAAUAUCCUUAGUGCCUAGGGCAGUGCCUAGCAUAUAGUAGGUGUUCAAUAAAUAUUUGUAGAAUGAAUGAAA
rnacentral:lncRNA from 1 species